rnacentral:rRNA from 1 species
GAGAGCUUGCUUUCUCGAGCGAGUGGCGAACGGGUGAGUAACGCGUGAGGAACCUGCCUCAAAGAGGGGGACAACAGUUGGAAACGACUGCUAAUACCGCAUAAGCCCACAGGUCGGCAUCGACCAGAGGGAAAAGGAGCAAUCCGCUUUGAGAUGGCCUCGCGUCCGAUUAGCUAGUUGGUGAGGUAAUGGCCCACCAAGGCAACGAUCGGUAGCCGGACUGAGAGGUUGAACGGCCACAUUGGGACUGAGACACGGCCCAGACUCCUACGGGAGGCAGCAGUGGGGAAUAUUGCACAAUGGGGGAAACCCUGAUGCAGCGACGCCGCGUGGAGGAAGAAGGUCUUCGGAUUGUAAACUCCUGUUGUUGAGGAAGAUAAUGACGGUACUCAACAAGGAAGUGACGGCUAACUACGUGCCAGCAGCCGCGGUAAAACGUAGGUCACAAGCGUUGUCCGGAAUUACUGGGUGUAAAGGGAGCGCAGGCGGGAAGACAAGUUGGAAGUGAAAUCUAUGGGCUCAACCCAUAAACGGCUUUCAAAACUGUUUUUCUUGAGUAGUGCAGAGGUAGGCGGAAUUCCCGGUGUAGCGGUGGAAUGCGUAGAUAUCGGGAGGAACACCAGUGGCGAAGGCGGCCUACUGGGCACCAACUGACGCUGAGGCUCGAAAGUGUGGGUAGCAAACAGGAUUAGAUACCCUGGUAGUCCACACCGUAAACGAUGAUUACUAGGUGUUGGAGGAUUGACCCCUUCAGUGCCGCAGUUAACACAAUAAGUAAUCCACCUGGGGAGUACGACCGCAAGGUUGAAACUCAAAGGAAUUGACGGG